CUCCCCUCCUUUUAGCUCUUGGUUUAAAAUAAGAAAGAACAUAAAAAGCAACAAAAAACAACAACGUGGAGAGUUUCUAAAUUCCUCAAGGAUCCCCUGCCAAGAACUGGAGCCAGCUACUACCAGGAGGUAGAAGUGGAAUCCCGGCUUCUGCUUGUCUGCUUGUGAUUUACAGAUGUGCAUCCAAUCUCGGUUUUGGAAUGGGAUGGGUAUAGAGUAUCCUCACCUUGAUCGCCUUCUCUUACCCGCUCCAAAGCAUUGGUCUCACAGCAGCAAGGGGAGCCUUUUUAAAUGGCAGAUCUCAUCACCAUGGUGCUUACGGCCCCGUGGAGUCAAGUCUAAGCUUGUGGAAGGGCAAAUGAAGCGCUCUUGGAAUUUUGGUUCUGCCCAGCCCUCAAAGCCCCCUCUGAAUCUAUUCUCAGAUUCAGCAUCUUGGUGGGUUCCUCUGGUUCAGACCUAUUGCUUCACCUGGAUGGAGUAAGGAGUUGCUGUAAUGAUCACUGACUGCCUUCCUCCCUCCUUGGUGUUCAGCUCUUCUUUGCUCAUCUUUCUGGCCAGCCAGAGAGCCUUCUGGGCAGGAGGACCUCCAUCCACAACGGAUAAGCCAGCUCAGGGCAGGGCACAGAGCAGGUCUAAGUUAGUGUUUCUGUAAUGGGAAGCAUAAUCCAGCAUUUUCUAGGGGAUAGGAGCUCUGACUCUGCAGCGGGAUUCUUCUUGAUUUGAAUACUGGCAUUUAUCUCCCGAGCCUCCUCUUCCCAUCCUGUGAAGUGGACAGAAGCAUCUCAACAUCAGAUUGCCCAUCCCACAAUGAACUGAGAUAGUGCAUAGGAGUGUUCAGUGCAUUCCUAACAGUCAAAAUUACCAUCCUGAGAAAGAAAUUUACCAUUACCAUUUCACAUGGAUGACAUCGGAGCCUCUGUACUUUGAGGAUGGCCUAGAAGGAUAUUGGGUGAAGAAGGCAGAGAAAGCCUUCUUUUGAGGAACCAGCAUAAUCAAAGCCUAGAAGCAUUGAGAGGUCUCCUGGAGGGACUUCAGUUACCUGGGAUCUGCUUUUGCCAAAGCACACCAUGGAAUCCUAAUGGAGGGAGGGAAAGCAGGGCUGGAGUGGUCAACCAACAGUGGUCAAGUCACAGGAGGCAAUGGAUUCUGCACAGCCAAGGGACCUGAGCUCUCUUCUACAGAUGAUGGCGGAGAUGGGGGAAACUUUGAGGAUUUUCUUUAGUACAGAAAGGUAAUCACGUUUGCAUUUUGAAGGAGACUCACUCUGGCUACAGUGUGAAGUGGGAUUGGAGUGUGACCAGAUGGGAUGCUGCAAGACCGGUGGUGACAUUGAAGCUGUCUGAAAAGCAUGACAUUUUCUUGGGGGAAGUUAUAAUCCUCUGAUUUCUAAAGUCAACCAUACUUGUGUGAAGUACCUGUCUAAAUAUUCUCUUUUUACAUGAAUUAGCUAUAAAAGUAGAAGCUAACUUUGGCACAGAAAUGCAUCUGUGAGGCAGAGGAAAACAUUUCCUUUAUAACCAUUUUUUGUUCCAGUCUUCUUGCCGGGAGAGAAGAAUGCAAGAUAGAACUGAGAAAUUGGUGAAAUUUCAGGAGUUGCCAUUUUGAAGCUCUCUCUCCCAUAGAUAUGAAGCCGUAGGGUUUUGUGGGUCCUGAGUUUUUAGUGUAUUUUUUUACACAUUUAUCAUGGCCCAUCCCAAACUAAACUUUAGAAACUGGCAAAUAUUCUGGUUGCUUAGCAUGAGGGAAGGAACAGGAAGUCAAAGUUGGAGAAUGAGCAUCUGAGUUCUUGCCUCAGCGAGGCAAGAACUUGCCAGGGUGGGACUUUUUGUAGUCUCUUGACAUUUUAGAACCUACUGUAAAAUAUUCUUAAAUUAAAAAUAUGUCCCCACACUACCACUGUCUUCAUCAUCACCACCACUACUGUCAUAUCACCUAGACCAACAUCACAUCCUAACUCCCAUUCCACAGCUGAUGGUGAGUAUAAAAUGUAACCUUGUAUACAAAACGCUUUGAACUUGUCAUCAGUAGAUCAUAGCACAUACAUAAAUGUCUCCAAAAUUGCAAUGUGGAAACAUUGAUUAAAUUCAAUAUCUGGCACAUUUGGUACCGAUGAAACAUUUGCUGAAUGAAAAUAUGGCCUUUGACUAAGGUCUUUCACCCUGUAUUAUGUGGAUGCAUACUUUGUGAUACAAAAGCCAGGCAUCAUAUCCAUGGAUCCUUGCUUUCUGAUAUAGAAUAUAGCUUAAGGAGAUGUAAGCAGACUUACACCAUAAACAUUGAAAGAGCUUUGGUUCUGAUGUUAUUAGGUAAUUCCAUCCAUAUCCCAAAACAGGUCCAUAAUCUCUUAGAAUAGGGUUUGGCUCAUUAAUCAUUAAAUCCACUGUAAAACAAAGAGUUUUUCAUGUGUAUGUCUUUCCACCCAUCCAUCCAUCCAUCCAUUCAUCUAUUUUCUAGCCAUCAUGUAUUCUAUCACCUAUCUCUCCAUCAUCUGUGUAUCUAUUUGUCAUUAUAAAGAUGUUCCCUUUUUCCCAGUUAUAGGUUCUAUGUUGUCCUUUGUGCUUAAAGCUGAACUGUUCUUCCCAUCACAGAUUUCAUGUGUUUUGCACAUAAUACCCUAAAUUGCUAGGUGUUGAUGCCUCUGUUCUUUUAUUGCCAAACUGCCUGAGCCUCAGCCUUGAGCCAACUUUUCUUCUGUCAGGAAAGCCAGCUGCUUUUUCAGUAAGAAUGUUUUCUUAAAAACAGAAACAAAACAAAACAAACAAAAAUCCCAGAUAAACAGACUUCCAAACAACUUAGAAAAAAUAGUGUACACAGAGUACUUUGUCCAACUUCUCUCUUUCAGGCCCUGUGGACCACAUGUUAACCCUCUCUGGCAGAAAUUUAUUAACCUCUGUGUCUUGGCAUUUAGUACAAGGUCUGAUAUAAAAAACAAAUAUUCAUGGAGUAAAAUAUUCCUCUUCAUUACAUCUUAGAACUAGUCUAGGACUCGGAUGACUUGGUGCUUUGCUGGUUAGAGUGUAACCUCUAGAUCAGUAGCAUUGGCACCUAUGAGUUUGUGAGCACUGAGAAUCCCACGCCCAACCUUGAACCUAUUAAAUCACAAUCUUUAUUUUAAACAAACCUGGGCGAUUCAUUUGAGAAUCACUGAUCUUGUCCAAAGAUAAUGAAAUUUAGUUGAAGAUUGGAAUAAUCUAAAGAACUUUAAAAAAUAUUGAUAACAGGAUCCCAUAGCUUCAGAUUUAUUUGAUCUGGAGGUGUUGGCUGGAUAUUGAGCGUUUUGAAAGCUUCCCAUGUCAAUCAAAUAAGAGGCCAAGGUUGCAAACCAUUGAGUCC